GUCAUUAUCCUGUCUGAUUAUUUGCUUGACUGUUGCUAUGGAUAUUACAUGAUUUUAUUGUGACAAAUAACUGUUGUUGACUUCGACCUAAUUGCUCAAGUUAUUUAAAAAAAAAAAAAAACUUGGACCCGAAGAGAUGCUGAACAAAGGUUGUUUUUGUCACAAAUAUAAGACAAUAACAAUCGGAGCAAUGGUUUUUGUAUUCGAUACUGAAUAUAGAUAGAUUGUAUUAUAUAAGGCGAAUGGUUACCGUCGUCUCGUCUGUUAUAAUAGACAAUAAUAUUCCACUGCGGGGAAGCUUUUUUUGUAACAGUAAUGACUAAUAAGCAAAGGUCCAUCAUAAAAAAGUUUUUAGCAUAGCUUAAAUAACGGGGCGUUAUCAGGGUCAAUAUAAGUGAAACACCAAAAAAUACUUGCUCAUGGGCAAAUUUAUUUGAAGAAAUGUAUACACAUACCAUCUUAAUAUAUACGGAUAUGUAGAAGAAGUCUUGGAAAAAUGACUAAAAUAAAUUCUGAUUAAUUAAUAAAAUUAUAUUCUUGAUACAAAGAAACUUACAAAUUUAUUAUGUUUUUUUUUGUUGUUGUUUCCAAACAUUUAUUUACUAUGAUACAAAUAAUAUUAACAUUCUUCUACGUAGAAUAAAAUAGAACAAAUUUCAUAGUGUAGCAUUUUCGGUAAAACUUAUCUAAACAUUGAAUGAUAUUCAUUGAAUAACAGUUACGAAAUAAAAAAUAUAAAAUUAACAAAGAUCAAAUAGUAAAUAAUUAUUAUUUAAAAAUAAAAUUUGCCUACUACGUCAUUUUAUAUUCACAUUAUUUUCUAUCUAUGAACAUUAAUAUACAAAAGAAAAAUAUACAACGUUAUCAGUGUAGGGAGUUAUUAUUUUUUAAUAUUAUUUACAUCUUAAACAUUAAAAUAUAUUUAAAAUAGCAUCACAGUGAUUUACGUUAAAAUUAAAACUCAUAAGACAAGUAAUGUUUUUCUCAACAAUAUGAUAAGUUAUUUAGUCUUAGUAACGUCUCGAAAUGAAAUAACAAAUUGUUUCAGCAAACCAAAUUAGUUUUUUUUUUUUUACUCACAAAUCGUUGACUUUAGCCGCUUUAUAUAGUUUAAAUAAAACAAGAAAAAAUACAGAGAAUUUAAAUUAAAAUGUGGCAUCGUAACAAUAUUAUAAAGUUCAAAUUAGAUAGUCAUUAAUUCUUUUUUUUCCAAAGUAGGGUAGGACUAGUGCUUAGUAAACUAAAAUGUUUACGACAGUACGGUUUUUUUUAAAUAUAUAACUUAUUAUUUGAAAAAUAAGGUUUAAAGUUAAACAUGGUUUAGAAGUUUUCACUUCCUGACAUAGCCUUUUUGUUGAAUGAAAUAAACGUAAUGACAUUAGAAAAAUAUUUGUGUUUGAAAUUAUUCCAAAAUAAAAUUUUGUUUUCGUCAAAUGAAUUAAUGACUAAUAGUUAAGUUAAGAACAUACAGUUGUUUUUUUUUUUACAAAAUUGUAAAUGUUCAGAAUAAUUUUAUAAUUA